GGACUCCCGCUGCAGACAGGGACCAGAGCAUCGAAUUUGAAAUAAGAACAAUCUGAAAAUGCCGAAAGGCGAAGUGACAGCUUAGAUUCAGCUGCUUCAGAAAGCCUGUUUACAAGUCAGGAAAAGCGAAGUGUGUAUUUUGUCCCAACUAGCUGAGCGCAGAGAGAAAUGAGGCUUAAGGGACUCUCGUGCAAUAUUGACUUUAUUUUUUCAGUGAGUUUGCCUUAUCCUGGAGCUCUGUGUGAGUCAUUGUGAACUAAUAUUCCGGUUUGAGUGGUAAUCAUCACAUCGUUUCAAAGCAUGGGUAUGAUAAACUAAUUCUGGCUACUAUCAAGUUCAAACCUUCCAGUCCUCUGCAGCAGUGAAAAUGAAAAUGAAUGAGACUUUCAUAACUGUCUCCUCAUUGGUCCACUUGAAUGCUGACAAAUACUGAGAUGAGUUCAAGGCCAUCUCAGUUAGGACCUUAGCAUCCUGACCAGCAUAUUGGAACGUUUCCCUCCUUCACUGUAUUCAGACUACAUAAGCUAAGGCAUUAUCUAUUGUUUAACUUAGCAUAUCUAAUAUAUGAGGACCAUCAUUAACAUUUUAUAAAUCAUCUAUUAUAUAAUUUCAAUGUUCAAAUAGUGUUCAAGAGUAUAUCCACUUUUUGGAAACUAAACAGAAUUGCAGAAGAGACAUCAUGAAAUACAUGAUUAGUUAAAACCU
rnacentral:lncRNA from 1 species